CAGGAAGCGGCUCGGAGCAGCGCCCGGUGCUGGGGGUGGUGAGGGCCCCCCCCCCGCGAUGGACACACGGGCCGCCCCCCUACCCCGCACCGGGGGCGGCGCCCCCUCCCUCAGGCGCCGGCCCCGCGGGGAAGCGAAGCCCAACGGCCGCGGCGCGCGGGCACUCACCGGUCAGCAGCGGCGCGCGGCCAGGGGCCAAUGGGAGCGGGGCAGCGGCGCGCGGACACCCGGGACCUGAGCCGGCCGGGCGCGAGGACACUGCCGGGGGCGGGGCACAGCCGGCGGAGGAGUUCUAGGGGGACCCGUGGUGACCGAAUACCGACCGAGCCAUCGCUGUGGAUCCACCGGCCAAGUACCUCGACUGAGAACCAGUUCCUGGGUGAGCCGGACCCUGGCUGCCUUGUCAGCAGCUCCCAGAAAAGCAGCAGCUGCAGCUGCUGGCAAAGCAGAGCCGGGCAACACUUUUUUGGCGAAUAAUAAAUUGUGGAAAUUGUA